AUGGUGGCGCUGUUUCGAAAUUUAAAAAACAACACGAUUCGGCAAUUUAUUUGGAUUUCGGAGAUCCUGGUCCCGGCUGAAAUUUAGAGUAUUGGCACUAUUGCAGCUGUAGCCUGUAUACCAUACAUUCAACAUGAACAGGACUGUCAGGAUGCUGCAUAAAAUGGUCUUAGCUAGAGCCUAGAAUGAUAAUUUCUUGGGAAUAUGCUGCAAGUAACUGACGGGGAGCAGUUUUUUUACCAAUCAUAGAAGCAGUAAGAGACAGCCAAAGAAGUACUCAAACACUUGACAUACCCAGAAAGAUCUAGAAGAAAAGAUUGGAACAGAUUGUAGCUUAAUUGUUAAACUAUUAAAGUGAAUUUAUGCUGCACUUGAACUGUAUUUUUGAAAUAAAAUAUCUGAAGUA